GACGAACGCUGGCGGCGUGCUUAACACAUGCAAGUCGAACGGAAAGGCCCUGCUUGCAGGGUGCUCGAGUGGCGAACGGGUGAGUAACACGUGGGUGAUCUGCCCCUUACUUUGGGAUAAGCCUGGGAAACUGGGUCUAAUACUGGAUAGGACCAUGCUGUAGGUGGUGCGGUGGAAAGAUUAGUUUCGGUAAGGGAUGAGCUCGCGGCCUAUCAGCUUGUUGGUGGGGUAAUGGCCUACCAAGGCGUCGACGGGUAGCCGGCCUGAGAGGGUGGACGGCCACAUUGGGACUGAGAUACGGCCCAGACUCCUACGGGAGGCAGCAGUGGGGAAUAUUGCACAAUGGGCGCAAGCCUGAUGCAGCGACGCCGCGUGGGGGAUGACGGCCUUCGGGUUGUAAACUCCUUUCAGCCAUGACGAAGCCCUUGUGGUGACGGUAGUGGGAGAAGAAGCACCGGCUAACUACGUG
rnacentral:rRNA from 1 species